ensembl:lncRNA
CCGGGGUGAUGUAUGGAAAGGACAUUUUACCCAGCGUUAAAGGACCGGGGUGAUGGAUGGAAAGGACAUUUUCCUGUCAUUAAAGGCACGUGUUACCGUCGACCCACCACCUCCCCACCCACCGCCACCAGCUGAAGUCCCGUAAUCAGAACCUCUCACUCUCAGCGGGAUGGGGGGUUUCCAUGCCAGCUGCCCACCAAAGGGCUACUUGCCAAGCCAGCAUCUGGCUCUGGGGGUAACCCUUCACAGACGAGGCCAUCUGCUAAACUACUUUAAUACUUUCAUAUUCACGUGUUGUCUCUGUUGUUUAUUCAGUUAAGCCUUUUACCUGACUGGACUGAUUUAACAUUGGUCUCUUACCUGGUCAUGGUGAACAGUCUACCACUCUAGUGAGCUCAGUACAAGUAAUGGGGUGGGGAUCCCUAUUCAAUCCCAGCACGGGGCCUGUGUAUAUCAUAA